UACGGGGGGAGCAAGCGUUGUUCGGAUUUACUGGGCGUAAAGGGCGCGUAGGCGGCCACCGCAAGUCGAUUGUGAAAUCUCCGGGCUUAACCCGGAAAGGUCAACCGAUACUGCGGGGCUAGAGUGCAGAAGGGGCAACUGGAAUUCUCGGUGUAGCGGUGAAAUGCGUAGAUAUCUGGAGGAACACCGGUGGCGAAGGCGGCGUACUGGACCUCUUCUGACGCUGAGGCACGAAAGCUAGGGUAGCGAACGGG
rnacentral:rRNA from 1 species